GGAUUGCCCUAGUAACGGCGAGUGAAGAGGCAAAAGCUCAGAUUUGAAAUCUGGCCCCGUUAGGGGUCCGAGUUGUAAUCUGCAGAUGGUGCUUUGGCAAGGCCCCCGGCUCCGAGUCCCCUGGGACGGGAUGCCGCAGAGGGUGAGAGCCCCGUGUACGGGCGGGGGGCCGCGCUGUGUAAAGCGCCUUCGAAGAGUCGAGUUGUUUGGGAAUGCAGCUCUAAGCGGGUGGUAAAUUCCAUCUAAAGCUAAAUAUCUGCCAGAGACCGAUAGCGCACAAGUAGAGUAAUCGAAAGGCGAAAAGCACUUUGAAAAGAGAGUGAAAUAGUAUGUGAAAUCGUUGCAGGGGAACCGCAUGCGGUCAGAACUCGCCUGCCUGGGUUCCGUUGGCCUUCGGGCCGGCGUACUCCCUGGUGGGUGGGCCAGCAUCGGCUUGUGCGGCCGCGGAAGGGUCCUAGGAAUUCAGCCCUUAGGGGUGUUGUAGCCUGGGACCAGAUGCGGCCUGCGCAGGCCGAGGACCGCGCCUUUGGCGAGGGUGCUGGCGUAAUGGCAAUAUGCGACCCGUCUUGAAACACGGACCAAGGAGUCUAACGUCUAUGCAAGUGCUCGGGUGCCAAACCCUUGCGCGUAGCGAAAGCGAUAACAGGUGGGAGCCUUCUGGCGCACCAUCGGCCGAUCCCUAGGGUCUCCCGAAGGAUUUGAGCAAGAGCAUAGCCGUUGGGACCCGAAAGAUGGUGAACUAUGCGUGAAUAGGGCGAAGCCAGGGGAAACCCUGGUGGAGGCUCGCAGCGGUUCUGACGUGCAAAUCGAUCGUCGAAUUUGCGUAUAGGGGCGAAAGACCAAUCGAACCAUCUAGUAGCUGGUUCCUGCCGAAGUUUCCCUCAGGAUAGCAGAAACGGAAGCUCAGUUUUAUGAGGUAAAGCGAAUGAUUAGAGGCCUGGGGGUUGAAACAACCUUCACCUAUUCUCAAACUUUAAAUAUGUAAGACGCCCCCGUUACUUAAUUGAACGGGCGGCUUUUGAAUGUCCGUUUCUAGUGGGCCAUUUUUGGUA
rnacentral:rRNA from 1 species